GGUUGGGAUGGAGAGCAGCGGGAGGGAUGGAGGGGAGCGGGCCCCGCUGCGGAGAACCGCCCGCGGCCCCCGCACACACGGGCCCGGUGCCCGAACCGCGCCCCGGGAGCUCCCGGAGGGCAGCGGGGGCUGCCCGGGGGUCCUGGCCGCUCUCCGCCGCCCUGAGCCGGGAUGGGCUGAGGGACCCCCGACCCGGCUGGGCCCGCGGGCGGGGGGAGCCGUGAGCGCCCCGUCCCCCGCUCGGAGCCCCUCGGUUCCAGGGCUCUGGCAGGCCGGGCAGCCCCCGCGGUCACUGCGGGGCUCCCGCUCCGGUGCUGCGGAGGGAACUGGCCGAGCCAGGCCAUGGGAAACGCUGCUGGCUCCCGGACGGAGCCUCCUCGGUGUGCCCUGCCCACCUCCCGGCGGUCGCACGGCAGCCCGGCCUGCCCACGGCAGCCUGCAGUGGUUUAUUUUCAGAUGUCUCAGUCAGCGUGACCAUUGGUAAUACUGAAACAGGUUAUGGUGUGUCAGUGCUGUCGUGGGGAAAAAAAAACCAAACCCUCCUUAAUGAAGGGGUUAUUGUAAUGAAACUGCACCGGUUCCCUGGGUGAAAACCUUCCUUGGACUUUCCAAGAGGCGCCAGAAUCGGUUUUGGCUGCAUUUCCAAAAAUAGCCCGCUGCACGGCAAAGCAAACCCAACUGAAUGUGCGCCGCACCUCGGCACAUGUGGCUCCUGCCUGGUCAGAGCACAGCAUCAAGGGCUUGCGGCCUCGGGAUUUCCUUUGUCAUUUCACCACAAGCCUUAUGACUUCGGGAAAGUCACUGUCAACACACCAGCUGCUCAGUUUCUGUGUGUCUGAAGUGAAAUCACGAAUUUUGAGAAUUGAUGUGGUCGGGGAUUUACUCUGCAGGAACAAUCCCGUGUGAUGGGGACUGAUGGGACUGCAGCUCAUCUUUCUGCAAGCUAAAAGGUCUUGAAAGAAAACCCCAACCCACCCUUUUUAGGACGCUUUUAGGUCUAUUUUUGUCUUGUGUUCGAGGGAAAUUUUAAAGGUGUACAGUAAUUUCCUGCUGGUGCCAGGUCAAACCCCAGUGUGACAUUUGGUCACGCCUGUCACUGCAGGCCCGGCCCAGCACAGCGAGGUUCCUGCUCAGCUCUGGGGCUGCCUGGGGGCUCUGGUGCAUCCUCUCACAUCCAGGCGAGGGUGUGCCGCGUUAGAACUCCUGGGUUUUCUCUCCUCUCGGCCAGCGCUCGCUGCAGAUGGCUGAGAGCAGCGCCAGGAGCCUGCAGGAGCCCCCCAGCUCUGCCCCCGACGAGAACGAGUUCCCUUUUGGGUACCCCACCAGCAUCUGCGAGGACGCGCCCGGGCAGAAGUUCCUGUGCAGCAACUGCCACAACAUCCUGAAGAAAGCCCUGCAGACGCUGUGUGGGCACAGGUACUGCUCUGCCUGCCUCACCUGGAUCGUCAGAAACAAUAAAAAUGCAAUUUGCCAGAAAUGUAAAGAGGAAGAUCCCAACACUUUGGGUGAGGAAAGCCUUUUGGCAGAAGAAAGGGCUUUUGGUGAUGCUGCCAUUAAUAAAGAGAUUUCUGAGCUCAGAGUCCACUGUGUGACCCUUGGGUGCAGCUGGUCCGGUAUCAUGAAAGACUUUGAAGAGCAUCAGAGUCUCUGUGAAUAUGCUUUGAUCCCUUGUCACACGGGCUGUGGCCACGUGGUGAUGAGGAGGAAGCUGGCAGAUCACUUGGAAAACGGAUGUGUCAAUAAUGUGACAGUGUGUCAGCAGUGCCAGUGCAGCCUGGCCAGCUCUGAGUGCCAGGAGCACUCAUGUGAAGGCAGUUUAUGCAAGGAACAAAAACCUGUGCAAACAGAAACAGCAUCAAAGGAAAAGAGCCUCUCCACGUCCUCACCCAGCAAGGAUGGCUGUUGUUUUUCUGAAGUUGGCUGUGCCUUUAGGGGAAGCAAAGAGAAGAUCCAGGAGCACGAAAAAUCGGCGGUGGGGGCUCACAUGCUGCUGCUGCUGCAGCACAUGAGGCAGGUGCAGGGAACCCUGCGCUCCAAGGGCUUCACCCCACGGCCAGAGCUGAGCUUGAAGAGUGCAGCAAAAAGCACCUGUGAGCUGCAGCUCCCGGCAGGGCUGGAGUUCAGCAGGGGUCCAGAGGUGGAUUGCUUCCCUGAAUCUUCUCGUGUCCCUGAGGACGAGUCUGUCCUGCAGCAGCUCACGAGGGAGAAGGUGAUUUCUGAGCUGGAAAACAAGCUGCACGUGUUUGAGAACAUUGUGGCAGUGCUCAAUAAGGAGGUGGAGAGCUCCAAUUUGGAGAUCCUGGCCUUCAGGAGACAGAGUGAACUGGACCAGAACAUAAUACGGGGCCUUGAACUGAAGAUUGCAGAGCUGCACCGGUGCCUGACGCAGAAGGACGCGGGCCUGAGCAGCCUGCACAAGAGCCUGCUGUUCUCUGAGCAAGCCUCCUACGAUGGCAUCUUCCUCUGGAAAAUCACAGAGGUUGGCAGGAAGCUCCAGGACUCUGUGACUGGCAGGACGGUCAGUUUGUACUCCCCAGCUUUCUACACUGCAAAAUAUGGCUACAAGGUGUGUCUGAGGGUGUACCUGAACGGGGAUGGGACAGGGAAAGGAACCCACAUGUCCCUGUUCUUCGUUGUCAUGAAAGGAGAUUACGACGCUUUGCUCCCGUGGCCCUUCAGGCACAAGGUGACAUUUAUGCUGCUUGACCAGAAUAACAGGGAGCACAUAAUCGAUGCCUUUCGCCCAGACCUGACUUCUGCAUCCUUCCAGAGGCCAGUGAAUGACAUGAACGUGGCCAGUGGCUGCCCCAUGUUCCUGCCCUUGGCCAAGCUGCAGUCCCCCAAACACGCCUACGUGAGGGAGGACACGCUGUUCCUGAAAUGCAUCAUCGAGACAAAUUAGCAGAUCCUGAACUGGCUGGCUGGGGAGAGGCCACCUCUGAAUGCCAACAGCUUGUGAGGAAAAACCUCUCAGUCUGAGACCUUGUGAUGGUUUGUGUGUACACAAAACCCCCAGAGCCUGAGCCUGCACCCCCUGAGCCCAGGGCCAUGCCCUGGAGGCGCUCCCAGGGCUGGGAGGGCAUUAUUCACCACAGCAGCCAAUCCUCAUGGCUUAGGUGUCACUCAUGGCUUAGGAGUCACUCACAUGGGUUAGGUGUCACUCAUGGGUUAGGUGUCACUCAUGGGUUAGGUGUCACUCAUGGUUUAGGUGUCACUCAUGGGUUAGGUGUGGCACUGUCACCCCUGCCCCACGCUGCUGCAGAAGGGGCUGUUCCUCCUCCCAGCUGGCCCUGUGACCCUGUGACCCUGUGGCCCUGUGAC